rnacentral:rRNA from 1 species
UACGUAGGGAGCGAGCGUUAUCCGGAUUUAUUGGGCGCAAAGGGUGCGCAGACGGUUUAUUAAGUCUAAAAUCAAAUCUUGGAGCUUAACUCCAUUUCGCUUUAGAAACUGAUAGACUCGAGUAUGGUAGAGGCAGAUGGAAUUCCUAGUGUAGCGGUGGAAUGCGUAGAUAUUAGGAGGAACACCAGUGGCGAAGGCGAUCUGCUGGGCCAUUACUGACGUUCAGGCACGAAAGCGUGGGGAGCAAAUA